rnacentral:rRNA from 1 species
GUGAACGCUGGCGGUAGGCCUAACACAUGCAAGUCGAACGGCAGCACAGAGGAGCUUGCUCCUUGGGUGGCGAGUGGCGGACGGGUGAGGAAUACAUCGGAAUCUACUCUUUCGUGGGGGAUAGCGUAGGGAAACUUACGCUAAUACCGCAUACGACCUUCGGGUGAAAGCAGGGGAUCGCAAGACCUUGCGCGAUUGAAUGAGCCGAUGUCGGAUUAGCUAGUUGGCGGGUAAAGGCCCACCAAGGCAACGAUCCGUAGCUGGUCUGAGAGGAUGAUCAGCCACACUGGAACUGAGACACGGUCCAGACUCCUACGGGAGGCAGCAGUGGGGAAUAUUGGACAAUGGGCGCAAGCCUGAUCCAGCCAUACCGCGUGGGUGAAGAAGGCCUUCGGGUUGUAAAGCCCUUUUGUUGGGAAAGAAAAGCACGCGGUUAAUACCCGAGUGUUCUGACGGUACCCAAAGAAUAAGCACCGGCUAACUUCGUGCCAGCAGCCGCCGUAA